AAUACGUAGGGUGCGAGCGUUAAUCGGAAUUACUGGGCGUAAAGCGUGCGCAGGCGGUCUUGCAAGACAGAUGUGAAAUCCCCGGGCUCAACCUGGGAACUGCAUUUGUGACUGCAAGGCUAGAGUGCGGCAGAGGGGGGUGGAAUUCCGCGUGUAGCAGUGAAAUGCGUAGAUAUGCGGAGGAACACCGAUGGCGAAGGCAACCCCCUGGGCCUGCACUGACGCUCAUGCACGAAAGCGUGGGGAGCAAACAGGAUUAGAUACCCUGGUAGUCCACGCCCUAAACGAUGUCAACUAGGUGUUGGGGGAGGAGACUUCCUUAGUAACGUAGCUAACGCGUGAAGUCGACCGCCUGGGGAGUACGGCCGCAAGGUUAAAACUCAAAGGAAUUGACGGGGACCCGCACAAGCGGUGGAUGAUGUGGUUUAAUUCGACGCAACGCGAAAAACCUUACCUACCCUUGACAUGUACGGAAUUUGCCAGAGAUGGCUUAGUGCUCG
rnacentral:rRNA from 1 species